CAAGGAUGAUACAUGCUAGAACUCAAAAUGACAGCAGAAAUAAAAUUUAUAUACUUUAUUCAUAGUCUUUGUAUGUUCAAAGUACAGAAAAACAUAAACCGGAAGUCUAAUCUGACUUAAAGUUUUGUCCAAUGACGGGAAAAUAUCCGGACGCAUUCUUUUUCGUUUUUAUCCCAAAAUAACCCCAACUGAAUGAUCAUAAGAAUGGAUGACAAAUGCGACUAUACAUGUUACCUAUAGGACACAGAGGCAUGAUGAUUAAUUUAUUGUGGAAGGAGGAGAAGCGACACCCAAAAUGAGGUCUUCUCGUUUAAUAGUAUAGAUGA
rnacentral:lncRNA from 1 species